rnacentral:rRNA from 1 species
AUGGUAGGAUAGAGGCCUACCAUGGUGGUAACGGGUAACGGGGUGUUAGGGCACGACACCGGAGAGGGAGCCUGAGAAACGGCUACCACAUCCAAGGAUGGCAGCAGGCGCGCAAAUUACCCAAUCCCGACACGGGGAGGUAGUGACAAUAAAUAACAAUACGGGGUUCUUUAGGAUCUCGUAAUUGGAAUGAGUACAAUUUAAAUCUCUUAACGAGGAACAAUUGGAGGGCAAGUCUGGUGCCAGCAGCCGCGGUAAUUCCAGCUCCAAUAGCGUAUAUUAAAGUUGUUGCAGUUAAAAAGCUCGUAGUUGAAUUUCGGGGUCAGUAGGUCGGUCGUGCCACUGGUAUGAACUGGUUUUACUGAUUCCUCCCUCUUGAAGAACUGUAAUGCCAUUAAUUUGGUGUUGCAGGGAAUCAGGACUGUUACUUUGAAAAAAUUAGAGUGUUUAAAGCAGGCUUUAGCUUGAAUACAUUAGCAUGGAAUAAUGAAAUAGGACGUUUGAUCCUAUUUUGUUGGUUUCUAGGAUUGACGUAAUGAUUAAUAGGGAUAGUUGGGGCAUUAGUAUUCAGUUGUCAGAGGUGAAAUUCUUGGAUUUAUUGAAGACUAACUACUGCGAAAGCAUUUGCCAAGGAUGUUUUCAUUAAUCAAGAACGAAAGUUAGGGGAUCGAAGACGAUCAGAUACCGUCGUAGUCUUAACCAUAAACUAUGCCGACUAGGGAUCGGAUGAUGUUAAUUUUUUAAUGACUCAUUCGGCGCCUUACGGGAAACCAAAGUGUUUGGG